rnacentral:rRNA from 1 species
UACGAAGGGGGCGAGCGUUGUUCGGAUUUACUGGGCGUAAAGGGCGCGUAGGCGGCCAUCUUUGUCAGGCGUGAAAUCCCCGGGCUUAACCUGGGAAUGGCGUUUGAAACUACGGAGCUGGAGUGUGGCAGAGGGAGGUAGAAUUCCACGUGUAGCGGUGAAAUGCGUAGAUAUGUGGAGGAAUACCGAUGGCGAAGGCAGCCUCCUGGGCCAACACUGACGCUCAUGCACGAAAGCGUGGGGAGCAAACAGG